GAUGAACGCUAGCGGCAGGCCUAACACAUGCAAGUCGAGGGGUAGAAGGAGCUUGCUCCUUUGAGACCGGCGCACGGGUGCGUAACGCGUAUGCAAUCUACCUUGUACAGGGGAAUAGCCCAGAGAAAUUUGGAUUAAUGCCCCAUAGUAUAUAACCUUCGCAUGUUGGUUAUAUUAAAGUUCCAACGGUACAAGAUGAGCAUGCGUCCCAUUAGUUAGUUGGUAAGGUAACGGCUUACCAAGACGAUGAUGGGUAGGGGUCCUGAGAGGGAGAUCCCCCACACUGGUACUGAGACACGGACCAGACUCAUACGGGAGGCAGCAGUGAGGAAUAUUGGUCAAUGGUAGAAAGACUGAACCAGCCAUGCCGCGUGCAGGAAGACGGUCCUAUGGAUUGUAAACUGCUUUUAGACAGGAAGAAACCCUCCCACGUGUGGGAGCUUGACGGUACUGUAGGAAUAAGGAUCGGCUAACUCCGUG
rnacentral:rRNA from 1 species